UACGAAGGGGGCGAGCGUUGUUCGGAAUUACUGGGCGUAAAGGGCGCGUAGGCGGCGAACCAAGUCAGAUGUGAAAGUCCUGGGCUUAACCUGGGGACUGCAUUUGAUACUGGUUUGCUUGAAUUCGGGAGAGGAUAGCGGAAUUCCCAGUGUAGAGGUGAAAUUCGUAGAUAUUGGGAAGAACACCGGUGGCGAAGGCGGCGCUCUGGACCGAGACUGACGCUGAGGCGCGAAAGCGUGGGGAGCAAACAGG
rnacentral:rRNA from 1 species